AUUGUUGCAAGAAGAUGAAGGGUGAUUCGAGGAAAUAUGUUGGUGGUAGUUUUGAGAGGGUGAAAAGCAACGACAGUGGAAAAUUAAGAGAAAGAGAGUGUCGAAAGGUUGAAGAAAACCUCUCCCUCCCUUCAAUUUUUUCUUUUUUUUUAUUUGUUUCUUAUUCUGAUUUGACAAGAAUAAAGGAUAAGAUGUAGUUGUUUCCCUCCAUUUUGGUACUACUCGUCCCAAUUUAUACCCCAUAUUAGGGUUUCUAAU
rnacentral:lncRNA from 1 species